GGCUUUAUAGUUGAAUAACAAUAUUUAAUUGCAGAUUAAGGGGUGUAUUUUAUUACUGAAGUUU
rnacentral:tRNA from 1 species